GGAGGACCGAACCGACUAAUGUUGAAAAAUUAGCGGAUGACUUGUGGCUGGGGGUGAAAGGCCAAUCAAACCGGGAGAUAGCUGGUUCUCCCCGAAAGCUAUUUAGGUAGCGCCUCGUGAAUUCAUCUCCGGGGGUAGAGCACUGUUUCGGCAAGGGGGUCAUCACGACUUACCAACCCGAUGCAAACUGCGAAUACCGGAGAAUGUUAUCACGGGAGACACACGGCGGGUGCUAACGUCCGUCGUGAAGAGGGAAACAACCCAGACCGCCAGCUAAGGUCCCAAAGUCAUGGUUAAGUGGGAAACGAUGUGGGAAGGCCCAGACAGCC
rnacentral:rRNA from 1 species